rfam:Schistosoma curassoni strain Dakar, Senegal genome assembly, scaffold: SCTD_contig0007101
ACACAGCUGAUGAGUUUCAAACGGGACGAAACACGUGUCGUGAAU